AAUAAGAUGCCUGAUUAAAGGGGUAUCUUGAUAGGAUACAUAAAGUAAAAAAAGAUUACUCUUAUUA
rnacentral:tRNA from 1 species